CCUACGGGAGGCAGCAGUGAGGAAUAUUGGUCAAUGGGCUUACGCCUGAACCAGCCAAGUCGCGUGAGGGAAGACUGCCCUAUGGGUUGUAAACCUCUUUUGCCAGGGAGCAACGCCGGCUACGUGUAGCCGGGCUGAGAGUACCCGAAGAAAAAGCAUCGGCUAACUCCGUGCCAGCAGCCGCGGUAAUACGGAGGAUGCGAGCGUUAUCCGGAUUUAUUGGGUUUAAAGGGUGCGUAGGCGGAAUGCCAAGUCAGCGGUAAAAAGGCGGGGCUCAACCCUGUUCCGCCGUUGAAACUGGCGGUCUUGAGUGGGCGAGAAGUAUGCGGAAUGCGUGGUGUAGCGGUGAAAUGCAUAGAUAUCACGCAGAACUCCGAUUGCGAAGGCAGCAUACCGGCGCCCAACUGACGCUGAAGCACGAAAGCGUGGGGAUCGAACAGGAUUAGAUACCCCAGUAGUC
rnacentral:rRNA from 1 species